UGCAUUCACUACUGUAAAUCGCUCUGGAUAAGAGCGUCUGCUAAUGACUAAAA
rfam:Salmo salar isolate Sally breed double haploid chromosome ssa04, whole genome shotgun sequence.